GCUUUGGCCCUUGAAGCAUUCUGAUUGGCUCCGCGGGUACAGGAGGCCGACCCUGGUGACGUAUCCGGCCUGGUACGGUCAUUGGCUAACGUGCCAGGGUCGAGGGACGCGGGUAAAGGUGGGUUGCGCGGCAGAAGCUGCUAGGCAGCAAGGUCAGGCCUCUCGUCCCACCAGGCACCGCGGCGGACGGGCAGCCCCUUGGUCCAGAGUCGGCGACCAAAAACCGGAAGUGCUGACCCUUCCCACAGUGCCUCGGGAGAACUCUAACCGGUUUAUGUGAACCCUGUCCUGCUGCUUCUUACCCACAAUGCCCCUUACCUGUUUAACGCGAGACAGUUGCCGUAGACCCACCCUUUUCGUUACCCAUCGUCCCUUCUGUUCCCCGCCCCCACUUGCGUCACUGCGGCUUCUAUCUUUGGCCCAUUCAUUCCCGUCCUAUUACCCAGCAUGCCUCUGUCCCAUUCAUUUCAGCCUCAUUUCUUCAACUACCUAUAGCUCGUUUCUGCCUGUUCACUUCCAUCAUCCUAGCGCGUCUUUAAUUAGCCAUGAUGUUUUGGGUCCAUUACCCAUCAUGCCUGCCGGCCCUGUUUCUCUAUUAUUCCUCUGCCUCUGGCUCAUUCAUUCAGUUCUAUUAACCAUAAUGCCCUGAGCUCCUAUGCAUUAUUCGUAAUUUUGCCUUUGGCUUGUUCUUACUUGCCAUUUAUCCUUUAAACCUGAGUCCCUCAAACUGAAUUACUGCCAUUUCUAUCUUUGUUCCGUUUAUUCCUGUCCAUUACCCAUAGAUUGUCGUUCCCUGUCAUUAACCACCGUUCCCUGGACUCCUCCCCCUUUCCUUCCAUUAUGCACCAUUAUGUUUUUGGCUUACGCGUUUUUGCUCAUUAUCCGCUCACUUAAUUUUUUUUUUUUUUUUAGAUAUCUUUGGCCCUUUUAUUUUUUUGCCUGUAACCCAUCUUGACGUCUAUCCUACUGAUUCCUUCGAGCUCUAGGCGCCCUCUUCAUUUCCCAUCAUGUCCCACUCCCAUCCCCUUCACAUCCCGCAGAAAACACAAGUUGACACCCGGUCAAAGUAUAAACUCAGAUUUUGUAGGAAAUGCUGUAUUACAAAACUGAAUUAUAUCCCCACCCACCCCCUCCAACCCCCACCCCCUGCCAGGAGACGUUUGGGUUCCAUCCCACUGGGCAGGAGUAAAAGGACUCAGUAGUCUUCAGCGUAACAGCAAAUUCUUCUCCUAAGGCUGGGACUGGCAAGGCACACUGCAUGAGGCUUACCUCAUCCUAACCCCGGGCCGGGGCUUAAUUCCCUCUAGACAGGAAUCGGGGUAGUGGGGGCUCAGGGAAGGGUCUGGACCCCUGAGACUCCUGCCUGCAGGAGGGAGAUGAGGAAGUUCCGCUUUGGGCUGGGGAAUCCCCUCCCUCUUGCCUUUGGGGAACAGACAGGGUGGGGAGGGGGAGAGUGGGGCUCUGCUGCCUGGAGGGCUCAGGUCUGAGCAGCAGGGUGCCCCCACCAACUACCCCAGGAGAGCUAUUGGGAGUUUACUUCCUGAGGACACAUCAGAGGUCUGGGGUUCUUCUUUGGGGUUUUGAGGGAGUCUGGAGAUGACGGGACGUGAGAGGUAUGAUCUAAAGUCACAGUCUUAGGAGUCCUCGGGUCAGAGGCUGUGCGGGAACGUGCUUCCCCACCCCCACCUGAGAUAAGGUUGCCAGGUUUCUGUUGUCAUGACUGGUUUCUCUGGGUCAGAGAUCAUGGAUUACAGGUCAUCGUGGAGCCACCGAAGUAGAAGUCACAGAUGAGAUGCAUUUUUGUGUGUUAACUGACAGUGGCCUGGCCUGGCGGAAAGUUGAGGGAUCAAAAAGUGAGAGGCAAGAGGCCAGGGCCACGGAAGCUCACACAUACAUGGCUCGGGACAUGACAAAGCCUUUGCUCCGGUAGGAAUCAGCGGGGCUAGAGUAGGACAGGGCAUCAUAGAUGGGGUUGAUCUUGUCCAAAUAGUCUUCCUCCUCCUCCUCUAAGUCCAGGGAAACCCUCUCCACAGCAGGUGGCCCUGGAGGCACCAGGAUGGGUGACCCCAGGCCUGUAGCCUCCAGGAGCAGGGGCCCUGACCUCUCUUCCAAGGUGGGCAGCUCAUGAUAUCGAGGCAUAUCCUGGGGGCAGGGAGGGAAAAAGCCCAAGGUCAUCUCCUGAGCACACAGAAUCCCAACCCGCCCCUUGACCCCCAAAUCUCGACCAUCUCCUUAUGCCAACCAGACCCGACCUAACCCCUUGCGGCCUGGGCUGAAAUUGCUCUGGGGCAAUCAUACGGCUUAUCCAGAACUCAAAGCCCAGACCCCAUCGCUCCUGGGCCUCUCCUUUGUCUUUUGAUCCCUGACCACAAGUCUUUUUCCACGAACCUUUGACUUCGAUCUUAUCCUCAACUACUUAACCUUAAGGCCGAAACAGCUCCUUGAACCUCGGUUUGUCUCAACUGUGAUAGGACCCCUGACAUCCAGCAGACCGCUUUCACUGACUGAGUGACCUUGAGCUCUAACCUCAUGUUCUUGCGCUUUUUCAACCAAGAUCUCCCCCACUGAAUCCUAAACACAUCUCGAUUCUCUAAGCUCUGACCAGAGACACGGCCCUGACCUUGAAUUGUGACCUUUAAUGUCAGGAGCUGACCCCGGCCCUAAACCCACCCCUGACCUGCCCUGAGCUCCUACCUGCUCAGCACAUGAGACGCCAGCAUCAAAGUAGGGAGUCUUGAGCGGGCUGUGCUCCGAGGCCCCAAGAGUGAAGAGCUGGGAGGGCUGCAGGGAAGGAAGAGGGGCGGGUCAGGACAACCCCCCCACGGCUGGCCUCUCCCCACCGGCUCCCCCUCUAGCCCCCGCCUCAGUGGGGAAAGGUGGGUGUGGGUGUGGGCGCAGCCGGGUACCGGGGGAAGUGCUCACCAUCUCUGGCUCCUCGAGCUUCGCCUUGGGGGUUGGUGGCUUGUACAAGGGAGGCCCCUCCAGACUGUGGGGUAGGAGAUAGGUCAAGGUGGAGGCUCAGACGGGAAGAGCCCUCCUAUCCCAGGUCACCGCACCUGCUCUCCCCUCUGCCUGAUCUCCCUUUCCACCGCCCGCGUGCCCCCUUGCCCAGCUAAUGCCUAAUCAUCCCCAUCAAUUUCUCUUCUUCCAGGAAGCCUCCCUGGUUCUCCAGGAGGGUCAGGAAUUCUGGACAUACGGUUACAUCUAGCUUUUCUUCCCUCUCAGAGCAUUUACUGAGUUUGUGUUUGAAAUAUUAUUUAUGAUAUCGUCCAAUAACCGUAUCCCACUGUGAAGCAAUGUGAAGGAAAAAAUGAAAUCUGUGUCUUCCACAGUGUUCUCAGAACUCGCCAUGAGGAAGUCAGGAAGUAUUUGUUAAUAGAAUGAAUGAAUAAACGAAAUGCUUUCCUGGCCUCCAACCUACGAUACAUUUCCCUCAUCAUACAUACCCACAGACCAGAGCAUCCUGCAUGCAUAAUGAGCCUUCAAUCCCCACCUCGGAUGUUGCCUCCCCCAGGAAGCCCUCCCUGACCCUCCACGCUGGCUCAGGGGCCCCCUCUGGCCUCUCACAGCUCUCUCAGCUUUUCUAGCCCAUCGCCGGCCAUGCUGCACUGCCACUCGCUAGGGAUGGGUCUGUUUCCUCCAGACUGUGAGCCCCAGGAGGGCAGGGCCAUCUCAAGCACCACUGGGUCUCAGCACUGGGUUGGACAGAGGAGAUCGAUGGCAAGUUGUUGGUUUGAACUGACUAGAUGAUUAAGGCAGUGGUUCAGAAACUUUCUUGUGCAUCAGAAUAACUCAGGGAGCUUGUUAUAAAUACAGAUUCCGAGCCCUUCCUGUAAAAGUUCUGAUGUAGUAGGUUUGGUAUAAGCUCGGGAAUCUACGUUGUUAACAAGUGUUCCACGCCUGCCGCGCGCGCGCCCGCACACACACACACACACACACACACACACACACUGGGUAGUGUUACUUCAGAACCAUUUUGCCCCCCAAAUGCUUACUUGCUGGGCGAAUUUCAGCAAGUGAUCUCAGCCCCCUCUGAACCUGUUUCCUUUCUGAUAAAAUGGGUACCAUUGGCUCCCUGUGAGAAUUUAUGUUUCCAUGAUGUAUUUAUGUGUGUGAACACUUUAAAAAUGUUUGUCUCAUCAGUGCGUCACUAACCUCCAGGGCCUGGCCCUGGUGGAUACUUUCUGAACGCUUGUUGAGUCAACGAAUGGAUGUGAGGCUUCAUCAAGGUCACACACGUAAAAAUGCAUCUCGCCAAGCCUGGCACAUAACAAAUGUUCUACACAGAGACGUGUAGCUGGUUCCCACCUGGCCCCCCUAUCCAGGCUCCUUCUUUCUCAUAUUAAGAGAUUUUAGUUGGGGGUGCCUGGGUGGCUCAGUUGGUUAAGCAUCGGACUCUUUUGUUUGUUUAUUUGCUUUUUGCAUCUGUAAAAGGCAUUUAUUCCGAGAAUCUAAAAUUUGGACAAAGAAUACGGAACAGCAUCGGACUCUUAAUUUCAGCUCAGAUCAUGAUCUCACGGGUUGUGAGUUCAGGCCCUACAUUGGGCUCUGCACUGAUGGUGCAGAGCCUGCUUGGGAUUCUCUGUCUCCCUCUCUCUCUGCCCCUCUCCUGCUCUCUCUCUCUCUCAAAAUAAAGAAAUAAACAUAAAAAAGAGAGAAAGAGAGAUUUUAGCUGGACAUACGAUCACCCAGAAUAAAGACUACAUUUCCCAGCGUCCCUUGCGGCCGGUGCACCAUGUGACUAGAUUCUGGCCAAUGGGACGUGAGGGGGAGUGACGGGUUCCCUUACAGGGCAGCUCACCGCCUUCUGUUUAAUCUUUCCCCCUGGCAGGAACGCCUGUUUUGAGGCCCGGAUGGCCGUAUCUGGUUGUCCAGUAUGUAGACGGUGAUAGAGCGGGGAGCUAUCAUGGAACGGGAGGGAAGGGAAGGCUGAGUAAUAAAGUAGCAGGAGCCUGGGCUCUGACGGCUUCACGGAGCAUAGCUGGCAUACCCGUGCUUCGUGGGAGACAGAAAUAAGGCCUCCCUCCCAUUGAAGUCACAGUUAUUUUGGGUCGCUCUUUUUCCCACGGCCCUCACAGGUGUUUCCCCUCCCACCCCCUUGGGCUCCCCAAUUCUGGGACCCCUCCUCCACCCACUUCUCAGGGCCCAUCACUCACUCAUCCUCCUCCUCUGCCCCCUGCAGCCUCUGCUCUUUCCGCUGCUGCCGGCAGAUGAGGAUACCUGUGGCGGCCACAGCGGUGGCAAUGAUGGCAGCGAUGAUGCCCCCAAUGAUGCCACCCGUGGCCCCUGCGCCUGCUGUGUUGGGGGUCUCUGCAAGAAGAGGGACAGUGUAAGGGGAUCCCCAGGAGAGGAAGCCACAGCUUCUUACUCCCAGGCACCCUCUUCCCUAAGUCAUCGCCCACCUGCCCACCCCUUCUCCCAAAGGCAGAGGGCGUUCGUUCCUUUGCCUAGUCCUCACUGAGCAU
rnacentral:lncRNA from 1 species